GUGCCAGCAGCCGCGGUAAAACGUAGGAGGCGAGCGUUAUCCGGAUUCACUGGGCGUAAAGCGCGUGCAGGCGGUUCGGUAAGUUGGGCGUGAAAUCUCCUGGCUCAACUGGGAGAGGUCGUUCAAUACUACCGGGCUAGAGAGUGGUAGAGGAAGAUGGAAUUCCCGGUGUAGUGGUGAAAUGCGUAGAUAUCGGGAGGAACACCAGUGGCGAAGGCGAUCUUCUGGACCAUUUCUGACGCUCAGACGCGACAGCUAGGGUAGCAAACGGGAUUAGAUACCCGCGUAGUCC
rnacentral:rRNA from 1 species